UACGUAGGGGGCAAGCGUUGUCCGGAAUUAUUGGGCGUAAAGCGCGCGCAGGCGGCUAUUUAAGUCUUAUGUAUAAACCCAAGGCUCAACCUUGGAUCGCAUGGGAAACUGGGUGGCUUGAGUGUAGGAGAGGAAAGUGGAAUUCCACGUGUAGCGGUGAAAUGCGUAGAUAUGUGGAGGAACACCAGUGGCGAAGGCGACUUUCUGGCCUAUAACUGACGCUGAGGCGCGAAAGCGUGGGGAGCAAACA
rnacentral:rRNA from 1 species